rnacentral:rRNA from 1 species
ACGGGUGAGUAACACGUAAGUAAUCUACCCUCGAGUGGGGAAUAACAUCGGGAAACCGAUGCUAAUACCGCAUAAUGCAGCGGCACCGCAAGGUGACAGUUGUUAAAGAUUUAUCGCUUGAGGAGGAGCUUGCGGCAGAUUAGCUAGUUGGUAAGGUAAUGGCUUACCAAGGCUACGAUCUGUAACCGGUCUAAGAGGACGGUCGGUCACACUGACACUGAAUAACGGGUCAGACUCCUACGGGAGGCAGCAGUCGGGAAUUAUGGGCAAUGGGCGAAAGCCUGACCCAGCAACGCCGCGUGAAGGAUGAAGUAUUUCGGUAUGUAAACUUCGAAAGAAUAGGAAGAAUAAAUGACGGUACUAUUUAUAAGGUCCGGCUAACUACGUGCCAGCAGCCGCGGUAAUACGUAGGGACCAAGCGUUGUUCGGAUUUACUGGGCGUAAAGGGCGCGUAGGCGGCGUAACAAGUCACUUGUGAAAUCUCUGGGCUUAACUCAGAACGGCCAAGUGAAACUGUUGUGCUAGAGUGCAGAAGGGGCAAUCGGAAUUCUUGGU